rnacentral:rRNA from 1 species
UACGGGGGGGGCAAGCGUUGUUCGGAAUUACUGGGCGUAAAGGGCUCGUAGGUGGCCAACUAAGUCAGGGGUGAAAUCCUGGAGCUCAACUCCAGAACUGCCUUUGAUACUGGCGAUCUUGAGUCCGGGAGAGGUGAGUGGAACUGCGAGUGUAGAGGUGAAAUUCGUAGAUAUUGGGAAGAACACCAGUGGCGAAGGCGGCUAACUGGUCCAGCACUGACGCUGAGGUGCGAAAGCGUGGGGAGCAAACAGG